CUGCACCGCUAAAAUACAAAAGAAAUCGUGUUUUGUUUAUGGUAUUGAUAUGGAGUUUCAGGCAGAUCUGGUCGAUAUGUCUGCAUACGCCAAGGAAAAAGAAUGAUAAGGUGAAAAAAGUGACAUUUUAUGUCUAGAAAGUGACUUUUCAUCAAAAGUGCAAUAACAAAACUAGUUCCCAUUCAUCCUGUGUCCCCUUACACACUUGUGCUCUUUAUCCGCUCAAAACGCUAUACAGCGAACGAGAAGGCGCUAGGAGCAAAGGAAAGUGGUUUUUCUAACAAACUCAUAUAAUCAGUUGCCCGACCUAGUCCAAUUUGAUUGUUUUCACAUAUUUAGACAUAAUAUAGUACUAUGAAAUGUUUCUGACCCAAAAAAUUACGAAAUAUGAUUGUUUACAUUAAAAUGCAAAAGUUGAUGAAAAAGUAUGAUAAGGUGAAAAAAGUGACAUUUUAUGUCUAGAAAGUAACUUUUCAUCAAAAGUACAAUAACAAAACUAGUUCCCAUUCAUCCUGUGUCCCCUUACACACUUGUGCUCUUUAUCCGCUCAAAACGCUAUAGAGCGAACGAGAAGGCGCUAGGAGCAAAGGAAAGUGGUUUUUCUAACAAACUCAUAUAAUCAAGUGCACGACCUACUCCAAUUUGAUUUUUUCACAUAGUUAGACAUAAUAUAGUACUAUGAAAUUUUUCUGACCCAAAAUAUUACGAAAUAUGAUUGUUUACAUUAAAAUGCAAAAGUUGAUGAAAAAGUAUUAUAAGGUGAAAAAGUGACAUUUUAUGUCUAGAAAGUCACUUUUCAUCAAAAGUACAAUAACAAAAC
ensembl:lncRNA